UGCGGUUAUACAAAAAUUAAAUUAAAUUUUUUUAGGAUUUAAUUAAUAAAAUUAAAAUUAAUAAUAAUUUAAAUUUUAAAUUAUAAAGUGAAAUUUUAAUUUAAUUAAAAUUUAUUUAUUUUUAUGAUAUUAAUAAAUUUUAUAAAAAACUAGGAUUAGAUACCCUAUUAUAAAAAUUUAAAUUAAAAUAAUCUUAAAAUAGUAUAUAAUUUUUUAUAGAAACUUAAAUAAUUUGGCGGUAUUUUAGUUCAUUUAGAGGAAUCUGUCUAAUAAUUGAUAAUCCACGAUUAAAUUUACUUAAUUUUUAAUUUUGUAUAUCGUUGUUAAAAAAAUAUUUUUAAAUAAUUUUAAUAUUUUAGAAUUUAUAUCAAAAAUUAAAUCAGAUCAAGAUGCAGAUUAUAAUUAAGAAUAUGAUGGAUUACAAUAAAUUUUAUUUAAUUUGGAUAUUAAUUUGAAAUAAGUUAAUUGAAAUUGGAUUUAAAUGUAAUUUUAUUUAUUUUAAUAAAAUGAUUAAAAAUUAAAAUAUGUACAUAUUGCCCGUCGCUUUCAUUAAUAAAUUGAAAUAAGUCGUAACAAAGUAGAGGUACUGGAAAGUGUUUCUAGAAAGAU
rnacentral:rRNA from 1 species